rnacentral:misc_RNA from 1 species
ACAAGCCGGAUGCGGGAAAUCCGCCUGUCCGGUUCGAUGAGCGGGGUGUGAAAACGGGGCCACGGUCGAACCAGU